AAAAACCCAAAGAGGUCUUUAAACCUUUUUCUGAAAGUAUAAAACCAUGAGAGUGCUCAGACCAAGGGUGAUACUGCAGGCCAGAGGCAGCAGGAGGCAGACAAGCACUGCUUCUCUUCCAGAGCCUGCACCUAACAGGGUUUCUAUCAGCAGCUGGAUGCUCUACAGGGGAACCACCCAAAUAGCACUCCCCUUUGACAGGGAGGCGAAGAGGAAGCAGUCAUUAAAACUCUUUCUUUCUGCCCCAAACCAAGGAAAAGAACAUAGUCUCUCCCCAGCUUUCCUGGGCAUGAUGCCCCGAACCUGACAUUUACCCAAUCUGUCCAACUCAGUUCCUAACCAAAGCCAGAAGGUGCCCAAAGUUUUUGGGAGAGGGGAAGAGGCUAGCGUGUUAUCAAACAGAUCUUUAUUUAAAGUCAUCAUUGGUGCUGUUUCUUGCUGUUUAUUUGUUUGCUAGCCUGUUCUUCCAGUUCCAUGACUAGGUGCAGGCCUUGAUGACUUCUUGAAGGCCUGAGAAGUGCUUAGCCUGCUUAGCCUGCUGUGUCAGGGCAGAUUCUGCCUUGUUCACAAAGGUCUCCAGGUCACAGUCUGGCUGAUUCGUCAUCUCAGAGAGCUCAAGCCAGCUUGGUCCUUGCUGUGUGAUCUCCCUGGGCUCUUCCAGGGCCCUGAUCUGAGUCAUGGCUUCAUUAAAGCUGGAUAUCUGGGAAGACAGCUCCUCCUCUUCAUUGCCAGCCAGAGACGUCCCAUUAGAGCUGGCUUCCAUCACUUCUGUUCCCAUCUGAACCGACUGCUCUCCAGCGGGCCCACUGUGGGGGCUUAGCUCCUUGACUCUGUCUGUGUAUCUCAGCAUGUUUAACAUGAAUUCAUAGGAGCUUAUGCCUGGUGAGAUCAUGGUAGUCAUGCAGGUCUUUGAGUUCUCCCCAGUGAACGAGGCCCUCAGCAGCUGUGUCAGCUUGCUUUCACAGACCGGUGUAUGAGCCUUGUUCUGUCCCAGAGCCCGGAUACAUUCCUUCAGAGCCAGGAGAGACUUGUUAAUUUCUGCACUCUCCAUGUGAGUCUGCCGGUCAGCACUACAAGUGUCAGCCCCUCAUUCAUUCCCUGCCAGAUCCACCAAAGAGAAUUUGCCAUGUAAUCUCCCUUGCGCUCGAAGAAGAAUCUGGAAGCAGGUGUGGGAGCAGGAGGAAGUGGAGUUGGCAAAUGUUUGUCCAGAAGUCCUGCAGGUGCUGCCCAUGUUGAUCAUCUUGACGACAUCAUCAGCACAGGUAACCAGAUACUCCUGCAGUCCCACAGCCUGCACCUGCUACCUGCUGUCCUCCAGCACAUGUAACUUGGCCUUUUUGUUGAGCAGAUCAAACACCUUCCCAUUGUAGAUCACGAAGAACAUCCUUCAGAAGGAAGACAUCCUGAGAAACCAUUGUGUAGAUCCCUUUGGAUGUGUUCUGACUUUUACCAGACAGGUCUCCACCCAUUGUGUGUGUCUGGAGACAGGAGGACCGAGAAUUUUGGACAUAAGAAGUCUCCAUGACAUACAUCAAUUCUGCCUUUACACACCCUUACUGUUGAUAAGAAAAGCCAAUGAAAUUUAGACUCUAUAGUGCUAUGAAUCCUAUUAUUCAUUGGCGUGGCUUUCUAGUACACACACAUAUGAUACUAUUAUAGUUGUGGUUAUUGAGGCAGGUCUUGCUAUGUGGCCCAUGCUGCCUGAAAUUCUCAACACUAUUGCCCCAGUGUCUAUGUACUACCAUGCCCAGCUUCAUGCACAUACUUAACUGUCAGGAAGAAUGUAAAUGAAAUAGGACUAAGUGAGUUUGUUUGGCUUUGAACUGGUAGUUUAUGUGUCCUUGUGCGCUAGACACUUUAGCAUGAAGUGUUUAAAGGAAUAGAGAGAAAUUGACAG
ensembl:lincRNA